GGAGUGGGGUGGAGUGGAGAGGAGUGGAGUGGAGUGGAGUAAAAUCGAGUGGAAUGGAAUGGAAUGGAGGGGAAUGGAAUGGAAUGGAAUGUAGUGGAGUGGAAUGGAAUGGAGUGGAGGGGAGUCUAGUGGAAUGGAGUGGAGUGCAGUGGAGUGGAAUGGAAUGGAAUGGAAUUAAUAAAAUCGAGUGGAAUGGAAUGGAAUGGAGGGGAAUGGAAUGGAAUGGAAUGUAGUGGAGUGGAAUGGAAUGGAGUGGAGGGGAGUCUAGUGGAAUGGAGUGGAGUGCAGUGGAGUGGAAUGGAAUGGAAUGGAAUUAAAUGGAAUGGAACGGACUGGAGUGGAGUGGAGUGGACUGGAAUGGAAUGGAAUGGACUCAAAUGGAAAGGAAUGAACUUGAAUGGAAUGGAAUGGACUCGAAUGGAAUCAUCAAUGAAUGGACUCGAAUG
rnacentral:lncRNA from 1 species